rnacentral:rRNA from 1 species
GAUGAACGCUGACAGAAUGCUUAACACAUGCAAGUCAACUUGAACUUCGGUUUGGGUGGCGGACGGGUGAGUAACGCGUAAAGAACUUGCCUCACAGAUAGGGACAACAUUUGGAAACGAAUGCUAAUACCUGAUAUUAUGAUUUUAGGGCAUCCUAGAAUUAUGAAAGCUAUAUGCACUGUGAGAGAGCUUUGCGUCCCAUUAGCUAGUUGGAGAGGUAACGGCUCACCAGGGCGAUGAUGGGUAGCCGGCCUGAGAGGGUGAUCGGCCACAAGGGGACUGAGACACGGCCCUUACUCCUACGGGAGGCAGCAGUGGGGAAUAUUGGACAAUGGACCAAGAGUCUGAUCCAGCAAUUCUGUGUGCACGAUGAAGUUUUUCGGAAUGUAAAGUGCUUUCAGUUGGGAAGAAAAAAAUGACGGUACCAACAGAAGAAGUGACGGCUAAAUACGUGCCAGCAGCCGCGGUAAUACGUAUGUCACAAGCGUUAUCCGGAUUUAUUGGGCGUAAAGCGCGUCUAGGUGGUUAUGUAAGUCUGAUGUGAAAAUGCAGGGCUCAACUCUGUAUUGCGUUGGAAACUGUGUAACUAGAGUACUGGAGAGGUAAGCGGAACUACAAGUGUAGAGGUGAAAUUCGUAGAUAUUUGUAGGAAUGCCGAUGGGGAAGCCAGCUUACUGGACAGAUACUGACGCUGAAGCGCGAAAGCGUGGGUAGCAAACAGG